CAAAAUGUCAUUAUUUCCUUCUUUGUUGCUUCGCUCAAAACCAGAAAUCGACUGGAAUCCUCAUGAAGAAGAUUGAUUCAUGGUCACUAGUGGAGUGAGAUUAUUGGUUCGUCAUGGUGGUUAUUUUGAGAGUAACCAGGAUGAUAGACGGGCAUAUUACAAAGAGGGCAACUUAAAAGCCACGCUAUAUAAUGGGGACAACUCACUACAACAACUAAAGGCUCAUAUGGGGUCUAUAUUGAGCUUUGACCCAAGCUGUUUGAAAUUUAUGUAUCAAGAAGAGGACAAGCCAAUGGAUUUAGUUGAUUUAAUAGAUGAUGGAGAUGUAAUGUGUAUGUUGAUGGUGGCCUCCAAUGUAUAUAUAUGUGUCGCAAACCAGACAUCACAACCAAAUCUAGUGGAGCAUCAACCUUUCAAUCAUACAUCUGCUCCAUCAACAAGAGAUAGCUGCCCUUCUGUACAAGUGAAUGUCCCUACAACGAGUAACAUAGCUGCAGAGCAUGAGUCUGAAUCCGAGGGUGAACCUGUGGCGGAACGUGAUGUAGAUGACACGACGCCCUUAGAGACCCAUUCAUAUCAACACGUCCACGGGUGGACCUAGUUGUGGGACAGGAUUUUGAGACUGUUGUGGAGUUACGUAAUCACUUAGUUGAUUAUGCAAUAUGUCAUAAUUUUGUGAUGAAGUACCGUAGAAAUGAUCAAGAAAAAGUGAGUGCAUACUGUAAAGGAGCACUGGAUUGCACUUGGAGCGUGCGUUGCUCUAGAGUCGGACAGUCAAAAUACUUUAGGGUGGGAGAAUUUAUGAAUGAGCACACUUGUAUAGGACCAAUGGGCAGGGCGCAUCAACCAUUGGCAAGAAGCCAAUGGGUUGCAAAAAGGAUUAAACCUCGACUAAAAGACCAGAUGACACUCACAACUAAAGAUAUUGCAAAUGGCGUUCAACAAGAUCAUGGGAUCCAAUUAUCAUACAUGCAAGCUUGGCGUGGCAAAGAAGUUGCAAGGGCAAUGAUCCUAGGCUCAGAAGCGCAAUCAUUCACUGAACUACCUCUGUAUCUUGAGAAAUUGAAUAUCACUAACCCUGGAACUAUAUCAGUCAUACAAACCGAUGAGCAGAAGAGAUUCAAGCAUCUCUUUCUUAGCUUUCGUCCAUGCCUCAAUGGAUUUCUACAUGGUUGUAGGCCACUGUUAGGGUUAGAUGGGACGUUCUUGAAGGGAACAUAUAUGGGGAUCUUAUUGGCCACAAUAGCUGUAGAUGCUAAUCAUGACACGUUUCUUGUUUCGAUUGCAGUGGUAGAGAAUGAGCACACUGAAAGUUGGACAUGGUUCUUAGAGAAUUUAAAUGGAGCAUUUCAUUAGCAGGUUGAUAUGGUUCCUCGUUUGACAAUUGUAUCGGACUGUCAGAAGGGUUUGCAAACUGCAAUUCAGCGUGUAUUCCCGGGAUCAUAUCCAGCGCAUUGCAUGCACCAUCUUGUAGAUAAUUUCAGGAGAAAAUGGAAGAACACAGUAUUCGUAAAGAAGUUUUGGAAUGCGGCGGGCGCAUUAUCUACUAAGGGGUUCGAGGAAGAGAUGUUGAAAAUUAAAGAGAUAGAUGAAGGGGCUUACCAAUGGAUAAUGGAAUAGGGAAAAGAAUACUGGACGAAUGCUUAUUUCAAGGGCAAGAGAUAUGAUCAUCUUGCAUCUAAUAUAUCUGAGCAGUUUAACAAUUGGAUUUUAGAGGAACAUGACAAGCCUCUCAUUGCACUGUGCGAAGGCAUCAGAAUAAUGUUAGUGCAUAAAUUUGCUACACAUCAACAGGAAGUUGAAAUGUGGACUGGUGUGCUAGUGCCUAAAGCACAAGAAGUCAUAGCCGAACAGAUUGAGAAGUCAAGUUUUCUGCAUACUGUUGUAUGGGUCGCAGGCAAAAAAUAUGAGAUCCAUGAGGAGAUGACGCACAUUGUAGAUCUAGAUGCCCGUAGCUGCACUUGUAGAGUGUGGUGGAAUAGCGGGUUGCCAUGUACCCAUGCAAGUGCAGCUAUAGAUCACUGUCACCUCCAAAUAACAGACUUUUGCGAGCCAUAUUUCACUGUUCAAGCUUAUAGGACUACCUAUGCAACUGAAUUCUGUCCUGUACCAGACUCAAUGCCUCUAACUGGAGAAUUGAAUAGAACUGUAUAUCCCCCAAAUACCAAGCGACCCAGGCAGGCCGAUUAAGAAGUGUAGGCGGAUAGAAGCCACAAACACCAAGGGUUAUGCUUGUACACGUUGUAGUGACGUAGGCCACAACAGGAGGAGUUGUAGAGAACCAAUCAAUGGUCCACUUCCUCUGACAUCUGACGGGGCAAGUGCUUAUGGAUCAUACGUCCGGCCUUCACUGUCCUAGUGGGCUUGGUUCACUAGGUGACUAAGGAAACGGCAGAAUGUGCAAGAGUUGCCAAAUAAAAAAGAGAAAAGACCGAGGAAGAGGUGGACGUUAUCUUUAGGAAAAGGGUGCUACAAUCAUUUCAUAUUUCCUCUUCAUACUUCAUUGAAAGUAGCGCACCAAAAUCAUAUGACACAAGCAAAGAGAUAGAGCGAUAUGCUGAUAAGUUGAAGCCUAAGACCAAGGCAUCAUGCGGCUGGCUUAAAACAUGAAAAACUGUACAAGGAGAUUUCAGAAUCUACAUUGCAGCCAGACUCAGCUAAAAAUGGUGAAAGAAGGGAAGUCUGAAAAGGAAAAGAAAGAAGAUGAGGA